rnacentral:rRNA from 1 species
GCCGGGCCGAGCAGAUUCCGUUCCGCGCACAGACACAUGACAUGAUGCCUUGCACCCCCUCCCCGCGCCACCAUCUCCGCUACCCCCUCUCGUCGUCUUGCGCUCCGGAUCGAACAUCUCUCCCCCUCCCGUCUCCUUGUCCUCGCGUAGGCUUCACACUUGCACAACGUAGCUUUUCUCCCAGCACCACCACCUCAGUCAGCAAGAUUGCGUUAUAUGCUGGUAAGGAGGAGCUCACCUUGCUUGAUCUUGCGAGCACAGGGGAACGGCCGAUCGGGUCAAGAUGUUUGAAGGGAUGGAGGGGAUGAGCUACGGCGGCGGCGGUGGUGCUGGUGCUGGUGCUGGUGCUGGUGCUGGGGCUGGGGCGGCGGCGCUGUCGUCGCGGGACCCCAAGCAGCGGCUGCGGUGGACGCCGGACCUCCACGACCGCUUCGUGCACGCCGUCGCCAGGCUCGGCGGCCCCGACAAGGCGACGCCCAAGGCAGUGCUGAGGCUGAUGGCCAUGAAGGGCCUCACUCUGUACCACCUGAAAAGCCACCUUCAGAAAUACAGGCUGGGAAAGCACACCAAGAAAUCCACAGACCUGGAACUAGCCAACAAUGGAGAGUUUACCUCGCAAGACAUCAGCUUCCAAAUCGGCGCGCCUCUUGCUGGACGCGACACCGCAAGAGAAAUGCCGCUUGAGGAUACCCUCAGGUAUCAAAUUCAGGUCCAAAGAGAACUGUGUGAACAGCUUGAGGUGCAGAAGAAGCUGCAGAUGCGAAUAGAGGCCCAAGGGAGGUAUUUAAAGGAAAUACUAGAGAAGGCUCAGGAAAACAUUUCCUUUGAUGCAAAUGGAUCUGCUGGCCUAGAAAAUACCGGAUCACAGCUGACGGACUUUAACCUGGCUCUUCCGGGCUUGUCGGAGAAUGGAACACAGGUGUAUGAAGAAAGCAGUGAACAGUUGGUGAAACAUAUGUCUGAUGACAAUCUUCAUGAUAAUAAUUUGGAUUUUCAGCUCUACCGUGUACGAAGUCAGGAGGCUAAGAGUGUCAAAUGCACCCCAAAAACUGAGGACCUGCUCCUCUUAGACUUGAAUAUAAAAGGAGGAUAUGACCUGUCUUCGAGAGGAAUGCAAGGGUGAGUUAAAUCUGAAGAUUAACCAGGAGAGGAAAUAGAGAUGUGUUUCAGCAUGCUGACAGUUUUGGGGAGUUUCACUGUUUGCUAUUAGAAUUUGUUUCCCCGUGGCAGUGCUUAGAAUGCUUGGUAACAAGUUUGAAUUCCUCUGUGAUAAUGUUAAAUUUGCUGAAGAAAUUCAUGAACGCUUGAAGCCUGGUAGUAUAUGCAUCAGGGCCGUUCCUGAUAUUUCGGGGGCCCAGGGCGAAAUUACAACCCAGGGCCCCUACUAUAAAGAUAAAAAUAAUAAUAUCAUUUCUUUUUAGAUUCAUUCCUUUAUCUAACUUAUUAUUGUCUAUUGUUCCAAAAUAAAACAAAAUUGUAAAUAGUGUAUGUUAAACAUCAUCAUGUCAGUCACGAUGACUUGUGUCACGUAGCUUCGGCAGGAGGUAGUUAGGAGAUAGUUUAGAUUCUCCCUAAACCGCAUGUACUUAUCUCUAUCUCUUAUCUCUUUCUUGCUCCUCAAGAUGUAAUCUCUCCAAACUACUUGUAUGCAUAUCCAGGGAUAAGCCCCUGACUAUAUAACACGCAGGCGCGACCCCGAUCAGGGGACGACGCUUCACGC